ACGUAGGGUGCGAGCGUUAAUCGGAAUUACUGGGCGUAAAGCGUGCGCAGGCGGUUUUGUAAGACAGAGGUGAAAUCCCCGGGCUCAAACUGGGAACUGCCUUUGUGACUGCAAGGCUGGAGUGCGGCAGAGGGGGAUGGAAUUCCGCGUGUAGCAGUGAAAUGCGUAGAUAUGCGGAGGAACAACGAGGGCGAAGGCAAGAACCUGGGCCUGCACUGACGCUCAUGCACGAAAGCGUGGGGAGCAAACAG
rnacentral:rRNA from 1 species